CAAAUAAAAAGCCUACAACUCAACGUAGCAGCUAACAUUGAAUUAAAUGAAUGGAAGAACUUAUGCUUUGAUCUUAUUCUUCUGGGCUCUACUCACUGUGGUCACCCCCACACUUAUUCGCAUGUCUGCCUCCGCAAAACCCUACUUGGAUUUCAACGGUAAGCCUUACCAUACACAAUGAUCAUAUAUAUGCACGUAAACAUAUAUUUUUUGGUUCAAUUAUAUACAUUGACCAUAAUUUAUAUGAUAGCAGGAGGGAUGAAGGGCAGUUUGUUGCCUAGAAGAGCACUGGAAGCCAUGGCAGGUCCCGAAGCACCAGCACCAGCACCAGCACCACGAAUGAACGUAACGUGAUGAUAUCUAAUUGAUGGGGGGCUUGUGCUCGUGUUUUAAACCUCGACUAGUCAUGUAGAUAUGGGACUAGCUAGUAUGCAUGAAAGCACAAGUAUUUGAUCAGGUAAAUUAAUUAAUAGAGAUAUAUACAGUAAACAGAAAGAAGGAAUAAUUUGUUCAUUCAUUCAUUUGAAAAGUUUCUUUAUAAUAAGGAAGUAUUUAUGUGCAUACAUUUUCAUGUAUAAUAUAUUGUUGUUCUUAAUUUGUUUCAACUAUAUAUGUUUUGAUGUUUGACUAAUCCAAUUGGAUUAUUCGUUUAUAUCAUAACAGAUCUCAACGUGACAUCGUUAACACCAUAUUACUUCACGAGAUUGUUGCCUGAUAAAUGCAGUAUAUAUACACAAUGUAAAAAACUGAUGAUUGAAGGCUACAAUCUAGCUAUAGCCGCCGGAAGUACCCUCCGGCGUAUAGGAAUUAGUUAUUGACAUUAACUAAUACGAAUGGCAUAGUAUUGUGUGCUCAGAUAGCAUACUUUAGCCUACGUUCGUUUAUUCCAUAUGUGUGUGUGUGUCAGUGUGUGUGUGUGUAUAUAUAUAUGGGCUUGUGGUGGAGGAUUUCAUUGGAACUUUAGGCCUUACGUAUUGGGUCUAGUCGGUGAUAUUUCCUCAGGCAUUUUGCAUCAACAUAAACCAAAUAACUAUGGCACGGUAUUCUUCUUAAAUGUAGAGCACAAUCUUUUGCUUGUGGGUUUAAACAAUACGCUGAUGCAUGUAUUCACCGUUUGAUGAGAAGAAAUCAUAAUGCAAGUGGCCGGCUAAAUUAUUGCCAGAUCGAGAUCACUCUGCAUUAUUGACGAAUGAUAUAUGAACUUAUAUAUAUAUAAAAUAUGUAAAUCAACAUUAUAUUAUCAAAGCGAUCCGUUUGGUAGCAUAUAUAUAUAAUCCUAACUAAUUAUUUAUGUACACAACAAUUACUAAUAAAUACUUACGUAGAUAAAUAAUUCGAGUGAGAUUAAUUAAACAAGACAGUGUGGGUUGGAAAAGUUCACCCCAGAAGAAUGAGUCAUAAGGAGACUUUUUAGCUCCAAAUAUCAAAUAGCUAGAUAAAAGACUGACAAAUAAAAAUAAAGAGAAAGAUCGAGGGCAUUUUUUGGAUAUAUUAUAAAAUCAUAGUAUCAAUGCAUACCCAAAAAAGUUAUAAUUAAAAAUAUUAUUAAUAGUAGUUUAAAAUUAUAUAGACAUACAAAUUGUUUUGAUAUGAGAAUAGCAUAGCAGAGUAGGUAUUACAAUAUUAACUAAGCAAAACAUUAACCACCAUCAUCACAUUACUUUGAAAUUGCAAUGAACAAAUCCACAUUUGCUAAUGAGUAAUGGGUUUAUGCCUUUGUGGGGAUGAAAUGGCGCAUUCCCUCUAUCAAGUUGGGCCAUUACAUUUCGCUACAACAUCAAAUUAAUACUUGGGAAGUUCUUACAAACCAAUUCAUGAUACCCAACAAUAUAUCAACUUAAUUAAAAUGAUACUCUCAACAUUCCAAAAUUAGAGAUAUAAUUCGAUUUUUGAAUUUGUUAUAAUAUACUAUACAAUUAUAAUAAUUGUAUUAAAUAAAAUUAAAUAAAUUCACAUUAAAUUAAAGUUUAAUAUAUUAUGCGUGCUGUCAUUUGACCUCAAAAGUCAAAUUGUAUAUCUAAUUUGCUGACCUAUGAAAUAAGAAUAUAGAACAAUUCUUAUAUAGAGUGAAUAUUAAAGUUAUGGUAGAUGACUGAAAUAUUGGACCGAAUGUGACCAAUUGAGAAACGUUCAAUAAAUUAAUCCGAUCAAAACAAUAUUCAUUCUAUAACAAACAAACAAACAAACAUAUAGUUCUCACUCACUCUUAUGACAAGUAAUUUUUUAUUUUAAUUUAUAAUAUUUUGAAGUAAGGUGCUAUCAAAAUGAAGAGAAAAAGAACAUCAUUACAUUACAAAAACUAAGGUACAUGAUAAUAGAAUCACUAGAGGAUAUGCCCCCACACUUCAAAAUAUAUAUAUCUUAUUCAUCAUCGAAUUAAUUAAAGCUAAUUAAUAUGAAUUCAUAUAUAAUUGUCAAACAAACUGAUGGAGGUAUUCGUCCACUGUUGUAUAGUUGACAUCAGGAUAAAGCUCUGAAGCUUCAACUCCAAACGAUGGUUCCAUCUCAGAGUUGGUGAAAUCUCCACAAACAAAUAUGGAAUGGUUGAUUGCU
rnacentral:lncRNA from 1 species